rnacentral:rRNA from 1 species
UACAGAGGGGGCGAGCGUUGUCCGGAAUCACUGGGCGUAAAGGGCGCGUAGGCGGCUUGGUAAGCGUGCGGUGAAAGCCCGGGGCUCAACCCCGGGUCGGCCGUGCGAACUGCUGGGCUGGAGCACUGUAGAGGCAGGUGGAAUUCCGGGUGUAGCGGUGGAAUGCGUAGAGAUCCGGAAGAACACCGGUGGCGAAGGCGGCCCGCUGGGCUGUUGCUGACGCUGAGGCGCGACAGCGUGGGGAGCAAACAGG